rnacentral:rRNA from 1 species
ACGUAGGGAGCGAGCGUUGUCCGGAAUUACUGGGCGUAAAGGGUGCGUAGGCGGCAUAUCAAGUCAGGAGUGAAAUACCCGGGCUCAACCCGGGGGCUGCUUCUGAAACUGAUGAGCUUGAGUUCGGGAGAGGAAAGUGGAAUUCCUAGUGUAGCGGUGGAAUGCGUAGAUAUUAGGAGGAACACCAGUGGCGAAGGCGACUUUCUGGACCGAUACUGACGCUGAGGCACGAAAGCGUGGGGAGCAAACAG